GCCCUCGUAGUCUAGCCUGGAUAGGCAAAUAGGACGCGAGCUUGCGGAGCUUGAAACCGGAGUUCAAAUCUCCGCGGGGGCG
rnacentral:tRNA from 1 species